AAAAAGUUAGUUAAAUUUUUAUAACAUUAAUAUGUCAAAUUAAAAUUAUUAGUUAAACCUAGUACUUUUUG
rnacentral:tRNA from 1 species